rnacentral:rRNA from 1 species
CAGGCCUAACACAUGCAAGUCGAGCGGACCAUUCCUUCGGGGAUGGUUAGCGGCGGACGGGUGAGUAACACGUAGGCAACCUGCCUGUAAGAUCGGGAUAACUACCGGAAACGGUAGCUAAGACCGGAUAGCUGGUUUCUCCGCAUGGAGGGAUCAUGAAACAUGGGGCAACCUGUGGCUUACGGAUGGGCCUGCGGCGCAUUAGCUAGUUGGUGGGGUAAUGGCCCACCAAGGCGACGAUGCGUAGCCGACCUGAGAGGGUGAUCGGCCACACUGGGACUGAGACACGGCCCAGACUCCUACGGGAGGCAGCAGUAGGGAAUCUUCCGCAAUGGGCGCAAGCCUGACGGAGCAACGCCGCGUGAGUGAUGAAGGUUUUCGGAUCGUAAAGCUCUGUUGCCAAGGAAGAACGCCUCGGAGAGUAACUGCUCUGAGGGUGACGGUACUUGAGAAGAAAGCCCCGGCUAACUACGUGCCAGCAGCCGCGGUAAUACGUAGGGGGCAAGCGUUGUCCGGAAUUAUUGGGCGUAAAGCGCGCGCAGGCGGUCUUUUAAGUUUGGCGUUUAAGCCCGGGGCUCAACCCCGGUUCGCACUGAAGACUGGGAGACUUGAGUGCAGGAGAGGAAAGCGGAAUUCCACGUGUAGCGGUGAAAUGCGUAGAGAUGUGGAGGAACACCAGUGGCGAAGGCGGCUUUCUGGACUGUAACUGACGCUGAGGCGCGAAAGCGUGGGGAGCAAACAGGAUUAGAU